GACGAACGCUGGCGGCGUGCCUAAUACAUGCAAGUAGAACGCAGUUGCGAACGGGUGAGUAACGCGUAGGUAACUGCCUCAUAGCGGGGGUUAACUAUUGGAAACGAAAGCUAAUACCGCAUACUGUGAGAUGGGCCUGUGUUGUAUUAGCUAGUUGGUGAGGUACAGGCUCAACAAGGCGACGAUACAUAGCAGACCUGAGAGGAUGAUCAGCCACACUGGGACUGAGACACGGCCCAGACUCCUACGUGAGGCAGCAGUAGGGAAUCUUGGGCAAUGGGCGCAAGCCUGACCGAGCAAUGCCGCGUGAGUGAAGAAGGUUUUAGGAUCGUAAAGUUCUGUUGUUAGGGAAGCGUUAUCUAACCAGAAAGCAACGGCUAACUACGUGCCAGCCGCCGCGGUAAUAC
rnacentral:rRNA from 1 species